AUAGUCUCUAAGAGUGUUUCAGUAAGUUUUACAUCAUUUGUGAAUUAAAAGAUGGUUAAGAAAAGAAGGGCUUAUCUGUAGUCAUCUUGAAUUCUUUUUCAUGGGCAAAUAAAUAGUGCCCUAAAUA
rnacentral:snoRNA from 1 species